GACGAACGCUGGCGGCGUGCCUAAUACAUGCAAGUCGAGCGGACUUAAAAAGCUUGCUUUUUAAGUUAGCGGCGGACGGGUGAGUAACACGUGGGCAACCUGCCUGUAAGACUGGGAUAACUUCGGGAAACCGGAGCUAAUACCGGAUAAUCCUUUCCUACUCAUGCAGGAAAGCUGAAAGACGGUUUACGCUGUCACUUACAGAUGGGCCCGCGGCGCAUUAGCUAGUUGGUGAGGUAACGGCCCACCAAGGCGACGAUGCGUAGCCGACCCGAGAGGGUGAUCGGCCACACUGGGACUGAGACACGGCCCAGACUCCUACGGGAGGCAGCAGUAGGGAAUCUUCAGCAAUGGACGAAAGUCUGACGGAGCAACGCCGCGUGAGUGAUGAAGGUUUUCGGAUCGUAAAACUCUGUUGUUAGGGAAGAACAAGUACGAGAGUAACUGCUCGUACCUUGACGGUACCUAACCAGAAAGCCACGGCUAACUACGUGCCAGCCGCCGCAGUAA
rnacentral:rRNA from 1 species